GCAUAAUUUGGGUAGAAAUUUGUGGAUAGAAAAACUCAUAUUAUCCAAUCACCAACUUUCAGGAUUUAAACUCUAUGCUAGGCAGUGAGAAAUUUAAUUUGAACUCAAAAAUCGAAGUUAAAACUGAUAAGGGUUUCUUCUAAAACAUGAUUUCCCAAUCCUAAAACAGAGCCCAUUAGAAGAUAAGCACUGAAAUUGAAGAAUACUCUGAUGGGUAUCUUACUUUCUUCAUUGAAGGUUGCUUCAGUAGUGUAUGAAACAGAGUCGACACCAGCUAAUGGAAAGGGUCGAGGCAAUUCAUUUGAACAAGGAACGUUUAACUGGAAACACAGAAAAAUUUGAAUAUCUAUGAAUUAGGCCUGAGCGAUUGAAGUUAAAGUAGAAGCAAGAAUACAAUGUUGAGAGGAGACUGACACUAAAAACCUUUUGGGAUAAGGUUGAAGAAACCAAACUCAAAGAAACUGAAGAUAAUGCCAUUGAUAACUAGGAGAAGAAGAAGUAGCUGCAGGUUCUCAUAAAUUAGCUUUGGUUGUUGAUGGGGUUAGGAGCUUGUGGUCCUUUCUUGGAGAAGUUCUAUGUGCGCACUUAUCCUUCUCAUUUUACAGUAAAUGGAUAAUGCAGGAGUUGCAAGGAGAAUAUUGGCGCUCCUGCAUUUUAUUUGGUGCUUUUUUCAAAAAG
rnacentral:lncRNA from 1 species